rnacentral:rRNA from 1 species
GGCGGCGUGCUUAACACAUGCAAGUCGAGCGGAAAGGCCCUUCGGGGGUACUCGAGCGGCGAACGGGUGAGUAACACGUGAGCAACCUGCCCCUGACUCUGGGAUAAGCCCGGGAAACUGGGUCUAAUACCGGAUACGACCGCUCCGGCAUCGGGUGGUGGUGGAAAGUUUUUUCGGUUGGGGAUGGGCUCGCGGCCUAUCAGCUUGUUGGUGGGGUAGUGGCCUACCAAGGCGACGACGGGUAGCCGGCCUGAGAGGGCGACCGGCCACACUGGGACUGAGACACGGCCCAGACUCCUACGGGAGGCAGCAGUGGGGAAUAUUGCGCAAUGGGCGGAAGCCUGAGCCAGCGACGCCGCGUGGGGGAUGACGGCCUUCGGGUUGUAAACCUCUUUCAGCAGGGACGAAGUUGACGUGUACCUGCAGAAGAAGCGCCGGCUAACUACGUGCCAGCAGCCGCGGUAAUACGUAGGGCGCAAGCGUUGUCCGGAAUUAUUGGGCGUAAAGAGCUCGUAGGUGGCUGGUCGCGUCUGCCGUGAAAGCCGCAGCUUAACUGCGGGUCUGCGGUGGAUACGGGCCGGCUAGAGGUAGGUAGGGGCAAGUGGAAUUCCUGGUGUAGCGGUGAAAUGCGCAGAUAUCAGGAGGAACACCGGUGGCGAAGGCGGCUUGCUGGGCCUUACCUGACGCUGAGGAGCGAAAGCGUGGGGAGCGAACAGGAUUAGAUACCCUGGUAGUCCACGCUGUAAACGUUGGGCGCUAGGUGUGGGGGUCUUCCACGAUUCCGUGCCGGACGUAACGCAUUAAGCGCCCCGCCUGGGGAGUACGGCCGC